rnacentral:lncRNA from 1 species
AUGAGGUUUUUCAGGUUCUUUGCUAAUCCUGCUGGCCUGCUCUGUCGCUGCUGGGCCACUCACAGCUACUUAAAGCUGAAUAGGCUGCUUUGUAUUUGUAAAGGUUCGUUCACAACGCACAAUAUUUUAGCCAUAUAUAUCUAUAUAUAUAUAGAUGGUGUUGGGAAACCAGAGCACCUUGGCGAGAAGUGGGCUACUGGAACAAGAAAGAAAUGGCUGAGAUGCGAGAACAAGGCUCUGUUGGAAUGCUACUACUCAAGUAACCCUAGUCAGAGGGGUUACAUGCAAAGAAUGUGCGGUGAAUGGGAACGGAGAAACCCACAUUCAAGGCUGACGGCGAAGCAACUAGUAGCUCAGUGUUCCAACAUCCACAAACGGCAACUGCUAUCACAACUUGAGAUUGACGAGAUACAACACAAAUGCUACGGCAAGGGGGAGCCAGGACGCCAGGUCAGAGGGGAGGUUUCACCAUCUCCCCAACCGGAAAUUGGGUACGAAGCCCCAAUAAGCACAGAUACGCUGAGCGAGGCAGCAACUGACCUGAAAGAUAAGAUCAUGGCGAGAUUGAACAGGCAACCCCGAACCCCACUACAACGGCUAAGUGAAGUACCAUCAGAAAGUCUCAUGGAAGAUGUGAAUGCAGCAUUGAGAGCGAUCCCUACCACAACAAUCACAGAAACCAAUGAGCUGAUAUACGCUUCAGCAUCAGUGAUCCUAGAGGUGCUUGGCUAUAAGAGCAACCAUGGGAGCCAUGAGAAACAAUACCCACCAUGGAAACGAAGGUUGGAGGCAAAAAUCAAGGUAGCUCGAAGGGAAGUGAGCCAAAUGACAGAGGCCCAGAGAGGUGCAAUGAAAAGACCAAUGCCUAAGAGGUACAGCCAGAUGACCAUACCUGAAGCACUCGAAACUGCCAAGCAAAGGCUACAAGCCUUGGCCAGCCGCCUAAAGAGAUACACCAGAGAUAACGAAGCCAGACGAAUAAACCGGCUGUUCGCAACACAACCUGCGAAAGUGUACUCUCAAUGGCAGGGUAAUAACAACAGAGCAGACCCACCAAGGCUGGAAACUGAACAGUACUGGAAGGGUAUAUGGGAAAGGGAGGCCCAGAUCUACCACACCAGACAAGACCCAAGGUGUAGACUGUGCAAAGAGGCCCCAGAGACGGUCCAGCACAUAACUGCAGGGUGUAAGAUGCUGGCAGGCAAAGCAUACAUGGAACGCCAUAACCAAGUGGCUGGCAUAGUAUACAGGAACAUCUGCGUGGAGUAUGGACUGGAAACCCCAAGGUCAAAGUGGGAAACACCUCCCAAGGUGGUAGAGAACGAGCGAGCCAAGAUCCUGUGGGACUUCCAGAUCCAGACUGACAGAAUGGUAAUGGCGAACCAACCAGACAUUGUGGUGGUGGAUAAAGAGCAGAGGAAAGCCGUAGUGGUGGAUGUAGCAAUACCAAGCGAUGGCAACAUCAGGAAAAAGGAACAUGAGAAACUAGAGAACUACCAAGGGCUCAGAGAAGAACUGGAGAAGGCUUGGAAGGUGAAGGCCACAGUGGUGCCUGUGGUGAUCGGAGCACUAGGGGCUGUGACCCCCAAACUGGAGGAGUGGCUACGACAGAUCCCUGGAAAAACAUCCGAAAUCUCAGUCCAGAAAAGUGCAGUCCUAGGAACAGCAAAGAUACUGCGCAGAACCCUCAAGCUCCCUGGCCUCUGGUAG